rnacentral:sRNA from 1 species
UUCAGAACCUGAAUAUGUAUUUCAUUGUAUAAUUUACUGUUAGGUCACCCUCGUCGAUUGAAAGUGAAACCUGAUUCCGAAAUUUUAGUUAUAGAAAAUGGAACAGCUUUCCCAUUUCAGGUGGAAGUUUUAGAUGAAUCAGACAACAUAACAGCACAACCAAAAUUGAUUGUUCAUUGUAAGUUUUCAGGUGCUCCAAACCUUCCAGUCUAUGUUGUAGAUUGCAGUAGUUCUGGAACCAGUAUUUUAACAGGAUCUGCAAUUCAAGUUCAGAAUAUUAAAAAAGACCAGACGCUUAAAGCAAGAAUUGAAAUACCUAGUUGUAAAGAUGUGGCACCUGUGGAGAAGACUAUUAAGUUGCUUCCCAGUAGCCAUGUUGCAAGACUACAAAUAUUCAGUGUAGAAGGACAAAAGGCAAUUCAGAUCAAACAUCAGGAUGAGGUUAAUUGGAUAGCGGGUGAUAUUAUGCAUAAUCUUAUUUUUCAAAUGUAUGAUGAAGGAGAAAGAGAAAUCAAUAUAACAUCAGCUUUAGCAGAAAAAAUUAAAGUUAAUUGGACUCCUGAGAUUAACAAAGAACACUUGCUACAGGGUCUACUUCCUGAUGUGCAAGUACCAACAUCUGUAAAAGAUAUGCGCUAUUGCCAGGUUUCAUUCCAAGAUGAUCAUGUGUCUUUGGAAAGUGCAUUUACAGUAAGACCACUUCCUGAUGAACCUAAACAUUUAAAAUGU